CCCCCCCCGAAUUUUAGGAUUAAGAGCUACUCAAAGGGGGUACAGCCCCUUUAAAAAAGAAUACAACCUCGACCAGCGGAUAACACCCCUCCCCAUCCACCGUAGGCCUUAAAGCAGCCACCGACAAAGAGUGCGUCAAAGCUCCAACACCUAAAAAUCCCCCAAACCCGCACGACUCCCUCACCCAUAGCAGGCCAACCUAUAACUAUAGGAGAAUCUAUGCUAAAAUGAGUAACUCGGAACCCACUCCUCCCACAGGCGCAAGCUUACAUCAACUCAUUAUUAACAGUCCCCCAAUUUAUACCCAAACCCCAACAAGCAACGCAUAUAAAACCAACCCUGUUAAACCAACUCAGGAGCGCCUACAGGACGAUUAAAAUCUGUAGAAGGAACUCGGCAAUUUUUAAGGCCCGACUGUUUACCAAAAACAUAGCCUUCAGCCACUAACAAGUAUUGAAGGUGAUGCCUGCCCAGUGACCCCCUCAAUGUUCAACGGCCGCGGUAUCCUAACCGUGCAAAGGUAGCGCAAUCAAUUGUCCCAUAAAUCGAGACUUGUAUGAAUGGCUAAACGAGGUCUUAACUGUCUCCUACAGACAAUCAGUGAAAUUGAUAUUCCUGUGCAAAAGCAGGAAUGUGAACAUAAGACGAGAAGACCCUGUGGAACUUAAAAAUCAACAGCCACUUCCACCACACGCAACCCCACUGGGCCUACCGCCAAAAUAAGCACCUGGCUGAUAUUUUUCGGUUGGGGCGACCUUGGAGCAAAACUAAACCUCCAAAAACAAGACCACCAAUCUUUACCAAGGACUACCCCCCAAAGUACUAAAAGUGACCAGACCCAAUACAAUUGAUCAAUGGACCAAGCUACCCCAGGGAUAACAGCGCAAUCCCCUCCAAGAGCCCUUAUCGACAAGGGGGUUUACGACCUCGAUGUUGGAUCAGGACAACCUAAUGGUGCAGCCGCUAUUAAGGGUUCGUUUGUUCAACGAUUAAUAGUCCUACGUGAUCUGAGUUCAGACCGGAGCAAU
rnacentral:rRNA from 1 species